UUACCCGCUGAACUUAAGCAUAUCAAUAACCCCGCCCGCCGCGCC
rnacentral:rRNA from 1 species